rfam:Aedes aegypti strain Liverpool supercont1.371 genomic scaffold, whole genome shotgun sequence.
AAAUCGGCCCUUUUCAGGGCCAACAGAUGUGUAUAAAAGAGUUAAU